GGUUGAUCCUGCCAGUAGUCAUACGCUUGUCUCAAAGAUUAAGCCAUGCAUGUGUAAGAAUAAAUAACUUUUUCUUGAAUCUGCGAAUGGCUCAUUAUAUCAGUAAUAAUUUACAUGAUAAUUCAAUACUACUUGGAUAACCGUAGUAAUUCUAGAGCUAAUACAUGCGUAAAAACCUGACUUCUGGAAGGGUUGUAUUUAUUAGAAUAAAACCAAUUCGUUCUCGGACGAUAUUGUGGUGAGUCAUAAUAACUUAGCGGAUCGCAGCGGCCUUGUGUCGGCGAUGAAUCAUU
rnacentral:rRNA from 1 species